GGCCUGGGUAGACUUGCAUGGGGGACUGGGGAAGAGACCAUGAACAGGAUAGUCUAAGGAGUUCCCAUCAAGCCCUUUACUCAGUAG
ensembl:miRNA